rnacentral:rRNA from 1 species
UACGGAGGGUGCGAGCGUUAAUCGGAAUUACUGGGCGUAAAGCGCACGCAGGCGGCUUGUUAAGCUAGAGGUGAAAGCCCCGCGCUCAACGUGGGAACUGCCUUUAGAACUGGCAGGCUAGAGUCUUGGAGAGGGGAGUGGAAUUCCAGGUGUAGCGGUGAAAUGCGUAGAUAUCUGGAGGAACAUCAGUGGCGAAGGCGGCUCCCUGGCCAAAGACUGACGCUCAUGUGCGAAAAGUGUUGGGUAGCCGAACAGGAUUAGAUACCCGUGUAGUCC